UUCAGAUUGCAGUCUGCAACUCGACUGCAUGAAGUCGGAAUCGCUAGUAAUCGCGGAUCAGCAUGCCGCGGUGAAUACGUUCCCGGGCCUUGUACACACCGCCCGUCACACCAUGGGAGCCGGUAAUACCCGAAGUCAGUAGUCCAACCUCGUGAGGACGCUGCCGAAGGUAGGAUUGGCGACUGGGGUGAAGUCGUAACAAGGUAAC
rnacentral:rRNA from 1 species